rfam:Myotis davidii contig148234, whole genome shotgun sequence.
GGCAGUUCUCAGGUGACUCACCCCGGAAUCAGACUCCCUCAUCUCUGGUUCUGGGUGUCUCACCUGAGAACCACA